rnacentral:rRNA from 1 species
GAUGAACGCUAGCGGCAGGCUUAAUACAUGCAAGUCGUGGGGCAGCAUGAGUAGCAAUACUUGAUGGCGACCGGCAAACGGGUGAGGAACACGUACACAACCUUCCUUCAAGCGGGGAAUAGCCCAGAGAAAUUUGGAUUAAUACCCCAUAAUAUAUUUGAUAAGGCAUCUUAUUAAUAUUAAAGCUUCGGCACUUGAUGAUGGGUGUGCGGCUGAUUAGAUAGUUGGCGGGGUAACGGCCCACCAAGUCUACGAUCAGUAGCUGAUGUGAGAGCAUGAUCAGCCACACGGGCACUGAGACACGGGCCCGACUCCUACGGGAGGCAGCAGUAAGGAAUAUUGGACAAUGGACGAAAGUCUGAUCCAGCCAUGCCGCGUGAAGGAUUAAGGUCCUCUGGAUUGUAAACUUCUUUUAUAUGGGACGAAAAAAGGGCAUUCUUGUUCACUUGACGGUACCAUACGAAUAAGCACCGGCUAACUCCGUGCCAGCA